AAAAACUUUCUUAGACUUAGUCUAUUAUGAACCCAAAACAAAAAAAUUUGAGUGCCACCAUACAUGAUGUGUCUUGGAUUCAUGAUGCACUAAGUCUAAGCAAGAAUUUCCCAAGUAAGAAAUACGUUUUUGGAUGUUUCUAAAUAUUCAGAAGCACAUCUGUGAAGCUCUGGGGAGAUGUUAUAACCUGAUAAGAAGCAAAACACAGAAGCCAAAAAGAAAAGCAUGCUGCUGCAAAGAACAAAGAGGUGAAAUGCCUAUC
rnacentral:misc_RNA from 1 species